GACGAACGCUGGCGGCGUGCUUAACACAUGCAAGUCGAACGGAAAGGCCCUGCUUUUGUGGGGUGCUCGAGUGGCGAACGGGUGAGUAACACGUGAGUAACCUGCCCUUGACUUUGGGAUAACUUCAGGAAACUGGGGCUAAUACCGGAUAGGAGCUCCUGCUGCAGGGUGGGGGUUGGAAAGGUUCGGCGGUUGGGGAUGGACUCGCGGCUUAUCAGCUUGUUGGUGGGGUAGUGGCUUACCAAGGCUUUGACGGGUAGCCGGCCUGAGAGGGUGACCGGCCACAUUGGGACUGAGAUACGGCCCAGCCUCCUACGGGCGGCAGCAGUGGGGAAUAUUGCACAAUGGGCGGAAGCCUGAUGCAGCACCGCCGCGUGCGGGAUGACGGCCUUCUGGUUGUAAACCGCUUUCGCCUGUGACGAAGCGUGAGUGACGGUAAUGGGUAAAGAAGCACCGGCUAACUACGUG
rnacentral:rRNA from 1 species